UUCUCCUUAGUUCAAUGGUAGAACACACCUUCCCACGUCAGGGCGUGAGCGAGGGUGAGACGGCGGUUCGAUUCUACCAGGUGACA